AACAUCUCUCCUGGCCCACUCUACCUGGAAACACACAGAGGGGUGAACUCUGGGGCAUGAGCUUCCACCCACCCAAGUCACCACAUUAAAAAGCCACCUCAAGUUUGAGGGUGGGGCUCGAGAAUUUGCAGUUCAGGUAAGCUCCCAGGCGAUGCUCACACUGCAACUCUGUGGACCGGGCUGAGGCUCACACCCUAACACGUGCCUGGUAGGGCCCUCGUGCAGGACCGCCUCAGCAAUUGCAUCUACCUGAUCCCCGCCACCACAUACCAGGUGUGUCCCCAAUUUUUAUGACAACCGCAAAUCCCCACCUCCAGUUUCCAAAAUGCUUCUUUGAGAACUGACACGUUCCCCAGGGAGGAACUCCUGGGGUUCUCUCAGCAAUUCUAGGAAGAUGCUCCAGAGAAUCCCUUAAAGGCACCAAAAGAAAAUCAGCAGUUCACACUGAUAUCAGCACAGGAUCCACUCUGGCUCAGCUGUGGGCAGCGGGAGAGGAGACUCCACAGCAUGGAAGGCAGAGAAAGUUCAGGAACUGUUUUGGCCUCACCAAAAAUUCACGGAUAAGAGAAAGACCAAGCAGCUAUUUGGAGAGGAUGAAAGAGGAGGAAGCAAGAAAUGCAGCAAUUAGCGAACGUAGAAAAGCAGGAGAAAUAUUCCCCCUCUUCUACCAAAGAGGAAACUGAGGCACAGAGGAUCAGCAGAGAAGGAACCAAUCAAGUCGAGAAAUGUGACAGAAAAAGCCUCAGCUUUCAGACCUUCCAUUCCUAUGCUCUGUUCUUGGGGUUUGACUCUGACCACUAAGAUGAUUGGCUCCUAGAAAAUGAGGGGCUUCUCUCCCGUGUGGAUUCCCUGAUGCGUGUUCAGGCUGGACCGGUUGCCGAAGCUCUUCCCACACUCGGAGCACGAGUAUGGUUUCUCUCCCGUAAACUCGACAAACUCUCUACUGCCCACUACUUAGCAAACGUUUGGGUGAAACGAAUCAUGAGGAAGGACUGCUGGAAGAAUACGCGUUCCCUUCCUUAAAUGAGAGACUCUAAAGUCUAUCCCAGGAUUAAGCCAGAACAGUGGAGCUGUGGGCCUGGAUCACGCUGUUCUGACACAGGCAGAACUGUGUUCACUGAACUGCGUAUUGGUUUAAUGGCUCUGGCUGACACUGAUGAACACUCUAAGAAGUGUCAUUAGAAAUUAAUGGCAGACUUCCCCUGUGGUCCAGUGGUUAAGACUCCGUGCUUCCAGACAUAUAUAUACUACCAACUGUAAAAUAGUCAGUGGGAAGUUGUUGUAUAACAA